rnacentral:rRNA from 1 species
GGAUGAACGCUGGCGGCGUGCCUAAKACAUGCAAGUCGAGCGAACAGAUAAGGAGCUUGCUCCUUUGACGUUAGCGGCGGACGGGUGAGUAACACGUGGAUAACCUACCUAUAAGACUGGGAUAACUUCGGGAAACCGGAGCUAAUACCGGAUAACAUAUUGAACCGCAUGGUUCAAUAGUGAAAGGCGGCUUUGCUGUCACUUAUAGAUGGAUCCGCGCCGUAUUAGCUAGUUGGUAAGGUAACGGCUUACCAAGGCAACGAUACGUAGCCGACCUGAGAGGGUGAUCGGCCACACUGGAACUGAGACACGGUCCAGACUCCUACGGGAGGCAGCAGUAGGGAAUCUUCCGCAAUGGGCGAAAGCCUGACGGAGCAACGCCGCGUGAGUGAUGAAGGUCUUCGGAUCGUAAAACUCUGUUAUCAGGGAAGAACAAAUGUGUAAGUAACUGUGCACAUCUUGACGGUACCUGAUCAGAAAGCCACGGCUAA